AAAUGAAGUGCUCGUUCGGUUGUCCGAAGCGGCUCCAGUUUUCGCCGUCCUACACGCACCGUCAUCGCCGUCGUCCCUCUCCCUUCUGACGUUUUGCGUCAUAACGUCGGAAUCUGCAGAUUUCCUCGUGUCAUUGCAAAAUCUUAUCGGUUACAACAUAAGUGAAAAACCGCACAGAAUAAGGAUACAGUGCUAAUGGGUUCAUGGGCCAUGUGGAAGUUGGAUGGAUUAUUAUUGUCACAUGUAGAGAUAAAAAAUGAAACUAGCAACCAUAUAUGUAAACGUAGUUGCUAAGUUAAGCUCUUUGUAGUAAAAGUUCAUGUUUACUGUUUGUUUCUUAUUUGUAGAUGUUUUAUUCAUUGAUGUUCUGUGUCUGAUGCUACUGCAAUAUUUUACUGCACCUCUGCAUAUUGAUGCACUUGAAUUUCAUAUUGACAUUUGUGCAUUCAUGUAGAAUAGCACAAAACACAGAAUAAGGUGUUAACAAUACAAAUAAUGUGCAGUGCAGACCGGCAAUGAGAUACUUGGAGCAUAGUGAAGUAGACUGAGGUUGAUAGUCUCUCUUACUGUACUGGGGAUUGUUUAAUGUUCUUUUAAAAGCAGGACAAAAGCUCUCCUUGAGAUUGGUGGGUACACACUAUCACACGUUUGUAUCUUCUGCCCAAUGCGAGUAUGUAGAACAAGGAAUGGCUGGGAUGGGUGGGUAUUUGAUUUUGCUGGCUGCUUUACUGAGGCAGCCAUAAGUAUAAAUAAAGUCCACGGAGGAGAGGCUUGUUGUGUUUUUACCUAUUCCGGUAAUAUUUGAGUAAUAUUGUAAAUAUAUUUUUGAGCAUUCGUUGUAUAAAGUUCCUGAAUGGCAUACGACAAAACUAGAGCACACAUAUUAUUCUGCUCCGUGCUUUCUUUCAAUUAGUUUUAUGCUUUGGAGUUACACAACAUAACCAGGCUGGUUAGCUUGAUGUGCUAAGCUGGAUGGUGGAGGGGAAGAAGCUGUUCGGAAUUGUUGAAUCAUUCCCAAAUCCACUCCGUGUACAGAAGUUCAGCCAACUCUAAAAUUGCCCUGAACUUGCUCCAGAGCACAGAACACAGAAGAGUUCAGCAGGCUCUUAGCCCAUGAUACUGUGCCAAGCGAAUGAAACAAAUCCAUAUCUAACAUCAUUCUUCUGCCGACUCAAUGUCCAUUUCCCUCCAUCCCCUGCACAUUCAUGCAUCUGCCUCAUGGCCUCUUCAUCAACUUUACUGUAUUCGUUUCCACCACGCAUUCCAGAUACCCACCAUUCUGUGUAAAAUCCUUGCCCUGAACAUCUUUCAAUUUUACCCUUCCCCUUAAAUGCAUGCCCUCUGAUAUUAAACAUCUUGACUCUGUUUAAUUAUCAAAGUUGUGUGUAGAUGAUAUUGGUUUAUAUUUUUAUACAGAAGCAAUGCAUCUGUUUUACAUUUGCAUUGUAUUCUGUGUUGUGCGUUUAUUAUAUUAACUAGUCACAUGGGUGCGGACGUGAUAAAAGGGAAGGGCUUAGUUACAUAUUCUUGCUUUAUUCUGGGCAGUUUAGAGCUAGGGAUGGCCCCUUGUCAUGUCUUUUGUUGACUACUUUGCUUAAGUCUACUUAAGUACAUUUAAUGUUGCUCAUUUCAGUUUCAUUGCUUCAAGAUUGUAUGUUUUGCUAGUUGCUCUUUAAUGAUUGACAGCGUUACUUUGACAUUUUUGAAACAUUAUUUUUGGAUUGAUCAACAGGUGCUCUAUAGAGGAUAAUUUCCCUUGUGGUCUCUUGCAGUGGCAUUGGUUUAUUCAAACUGCACUACAUUAUGCUUGUAAUGUACUAUGUUGCUGCUGUAAAAUGCUGAUUUUCAUGCCAUUUUUACCCUGGGUGCACAUGCCCAUGAUAAUAAAUCCAAACUCAUUUGUCUCUGAGACAGAAUAUACAGCAAUGAAACAGGCCCUUUGGCCCAACUCAUCCUUACUGACCAAGAUAUUCAGCUAAGCUGGUUUCAUUUGCCUGGAUUUAGCCCUUAUGCCUCUAAACCUUUCCUCUCCAUGUACCUGCCCAAGUGUCAUUUCAGAUGUUAUUAAUGUACCUGCUUCAACCACUUCCCUCAGAAGCACAUUCCAUCACUGUCUGGGGACAAGUUGCCCCUCAGUCCCCUUUAAAUCUUUCAUCCAUAUGCUAGUCACACAAAACCACAAUAGGUUCUUCAGCCCAUCAAGUUCAUGCUGAGCUGCAAACCUAUUAAUACCAACUGAGAGGAAUGAGUUAACUUAGCCAAAAGUCAUUUUUUGGUUCUUCCUAAGUAUGUACAGUAGUAUAUAACAAAAAAUGGUGGUUGUAAGACAAAGUGUUGUCAGCUUGAAUUUUCUAAUGGCCUGAAUAUGAGAAUGAAUACUCAUCCUUGAGAUGAGAUACUGGCAAUAAAUAUUUUUUUGCUUGCAGACCUGCUGUGUCUGUUUCUAAGUUAUGCCCUCAGACUGAAGGUCACAAGGGUUAAGACGAUACAGACCAGACAGAAUACUUGGUAUUGGAAAUGUACCAAGGUAAGAGUUAUGUUUUAUUUUUGAGGGAUGUAAAAAUGGAGCACCCUCUUGGUGUAAAUGGGAAUGUAUCCUAAGGCCUGGCCGUAACAAGAGAGAAAGAGAGAGGAAGAGGGAAAAUUUGCUGAAGGCCACUUGUUCCUUUCAGCAGUAUUUGGUAGCUUGGUAACUAUUUUGUCUCUUCUACUGUUUAACUAAUUAUUGUUUCUCUUUUUCUGCAUUUUAUGACUUGUAUUAUUCCAGUAAAGUAAUCACAUAUAACCUUGAA